GGAAUGUGGCUCAAGUGGUAGCGUGCUCGCCUGGCAGGCAUGUGGCCGGAGUUCGAUCCUCAGCACCA
rnacentral:tRNA from 1 species